rnacentral:rRNA from 1 species
CCUACGGGAGGCAGCAGUGAGGAAUAUUGGUCAAUGGGCGUAAGCCUGAACCAGCCAAGUCGCGUGAGGGAUGAAGGUUCUAUGGAUCGUAAACCUCUUUUAUCAGGGAAUAAAGUCUGGGACGUGUCCUCUUUUGUAUGUACCUUAUGAAUAAGGAUCGGCUAACUCCGUGCCAGCAGCCGCGGUAAUACGGAGGAUCCGAGCGUUAUCCGGAUUUAUUGGGUUUAAAGGGUGCGCAGGCGGCCUUUUAAGUCAGCGGUGAAAGCCUGUGGCUCAACCAGAGAAUGGCCGUUGAAACUGGCAGUCUUGAGUUGGUGUGAGGCAGGCGGAAGGCGGGGUGUAGCGGUGAAAUGCAUAGAUAUCGCGCAGAACCCCGAUUGCGAAGGUAGCCUGCCGGGGCAUAACUGACGCUGAUGCACGAAAGCGUGGGGAGCGAACGGGAUUAGAUACCCUUGUAGUC